GGCCUAACACAUGCAAGUCGAGCGGAUGAUGGGAGCUUGCUCCCGGAUUCAGCGGCGGACGGGUGAGUAAUGCCUAGGAAUCUGCCUGGUAGUGGGGGACAACGUUUCGAAAGGAACGCUAAUACCGCAUACGUCCUACGGGAGAAAGCAGGGGACCUUCGGGCCUUGCGCUAUCAGAUGAGCCUAGGUCGGAUUAGCUAGUUGGUGGGGUAAAGGCCUACCAAGGCGACGAUCCGUAACUGGUCUGAGAGGAUGAUCAGUCACACUGGAACUGAGACACGGUCCAGACUCCUACGGGAGGCAGCAGUGGGGAAUAUUGGACAAUGGGCGAAAGCCUGAUCCAGCCAUGCCGCGUGUGUGAAGAAGGUCUUCGGAUUGUAAAGCACUUUAAGUUGGGAGGAAGGGCAGUAAGUUAAUACCUUGCUGUUUUGACGUUACCAACAGAAUAAGCACCGGCUAACUUCGUGCCAGCAGCCGCGGUAAUACGAAGGGUGCAAGCGUUAAUCGGAAUUACUGGGCGUAAAGCGCGCGUAGGUGGUUUGGUAAGAUGGAUGUGAAAUCCCCGGGCUCAACCUGGGAACUGCAUCCAUAACUGCCUGACUAGAGUACGGUAGAGGG
rnacentral:rRNA from 1 species